CAGGCCUAACACAUGCAAGUCGAACGGGAACCCUUGGAUUCGUCGGGGGGGAGAGUGGCGAACGGGUGAGUAACACGUAGGUGACCUGCCCCAAGAGGGGAAUAACCAUUGGAAACGGUGGCUAAUACCCCAUAUGCUUGGCAUUCGUUUCACCAAGUAAAGCUCCGGCGCUUUGGGAGGGGCCUGCGGCCAUCAGGUAGUUGGCGGGGUAAUGGCCUACCAAGCCUAUGACGGGUAGGGGCGUGAGAGCGUGAUCCCCCACACUGGCACUGAGACACGGGCCAGACUCUACGGGAGGCAGCAGUGAGGAAUAUUGCCCAAUGGACGCAAGUCUGAGGAGCAACGCCGCGUGAGCGAUGAAGGCCUUCGGGUUGUAAAGCUCUUUUCGGGGGACGAGGAGGGACGGUACCUCAGGAAUAAGUCACGGCUAACUACGGCCAGCAGCCGCGGUAAU
rnacentral:rRNA from 1 species